GUUUGAUCCUGGCUCAGGAUGAACGCUGGCGGUAUGCUUAACACAUGCAAGUCGAACGGAACCUUCGGGUUUAGUGGCGGACGGGUGAGUAACGCGUGAGAAUCUGCCUCUAGGUCGGGGACAACAACUGGAAACGGUUGCUAAUACCCGAUGUGCAGCAAUGUGAAAGAUUUAUUGCCUAGAGAUGAGCUCGCGUCUGAUUAGCUAGUAGGUGUGGUAAUGGCGCACCUAGGCGACGAUCAGUAACUGGUCUGAGAGGAUGACCAGUCACACUGGGACUGAGACACGGCCCAGACUCCUACGGGAGGCAGCAGUGGGGAAUUUUCCGCAAUGGGCGAAAGCCUGACGGAGCAAUACCGCGUGAGGGACGAAGGCUUUUGGGUCGUAAACCUCUUUUCCCUGAGAAGAAGAUCUGACGGUAUCAGGGGAAUCAGCAUCGGCUAACUUCGUGCCAGCAGCCGCGGUAAUACGAGGGAUGCAAGCGUUAUCCGGAAUUAUUGGGCGUAAAGCGUCCGCAGGUGGCUCUGUAAGUCUGUCGUUAAAGAAUGGGGCUCAACCCCAUACAGGCGAUGGAAACUACAAGGCUAGAGUUUGGUAGGGGUCACGGGAAUUCUUAGUGUAGCGGUGAAAUGCGUAGAUAUUAAGAAGAACACCAGCGGCGAAAGCGCGUGACUGGGCCAGUACUGACACUCAUGGACGAAAGCUAGGGGAGCGAAAGGGAUUAGAUACCCCUGUAGUCCU
rnacentral:rRNA from 1 species